UCCCCGGCUAUAUGUAUUGAUCGCUAUUUUCAGAAUUCACUCUGCACAGAAGAUACCUUCAAGAUAGAAAGCACUGGAAGCAAGUUUUACAUCUUUUUUGUAUUGCCUAAAGAAAAAGCCUAUUCAUCGACUUAUCGAAGUGGUGACGCCCGUGCCAGCAGUUCCUGCUGCUAUCGCCGACUGUUCCUGGCGUGCCAUCUGCCUACUUCCGCGUGACGUACAGUGACGUUUUUCCGUGGCUUCCUUCCUGGCUUUUGGCGGGCGUUUCUCACACUUUGGCAGCGGCGGCAGGCUGUGCGCACACGCGUACUCAAGCUCAUUGCAUCGAUUUUUUCAGUUCACUCUCGCGGACAUGGGGACGUAUCAGUUGGUUUUACGACCUGUAUACGAGUACCCAUGGAGACCCCUGACGGAACCAAAUAUCUAGGCUGCAAUUAUACCUGCAAAGAAUCAUCUCCUUGUGGAAUACAGAGUCUUACACUUCCUACUGGUGUUUUUCGGCACAUGACGCCUCAGGUCCGUUAUACGUGCUUAUUAGGCGAAUGCGACGAAGCAAACGAAUGUAUUCCUCUGGGUCUGUUCGUCGACUGCUGGAAGCCUUAAAUUCAACUAUAAAUCAAUAACGUCUGAAAUCAUCUCUGUCUGAAUUAAACUGGAG